AGUUAUGAGGUCAAUCUGAUGAGGACAUUGGUCUCCCCAUUGAUUCUGGGGGUUUAUCAGACUGAUCUAAGCUGGACAGGCAAGGGUCUCUUUUCUCCAUCCCUGCUUUACAUGCACGCUCAAUAGGAAAGGACAACCUUCCCUGACAGAAGCGCCCUAUUCUUGUUUUCAAGGGUAAAGGCAGUCUCUUCAGUCUGAAAAGAUGUAUCAUGCUAACUGAUGAACAAAAUCCUUUACCUGAUUUAAACAGCAACAACAAAAAUCACUGUGUUGGUGUGU
rnacentral:sRNA from 1 species